UACAGAGGUCUCAAGCGUUGUUCGGAUUUAUUGGGCGUAAAGAGCUCGUAGGUGGUUCGGUAAGUCGGGUGUGAAAUCUCGGGGCUUAACUCCGAAACUGCAUUCGAUACUGCCGUGCUUGAGGACUGGAGAGGAGACUGGAAUUUACGGUGUAGCGGUGAAAUGCGUAGAUAUCGUAAGGAAGACCAGUGGCGAAGGCGGGUCUCUGGACAGUUCCUGACGCUGAGGCACGAAGGCCAGGGGAGCAAACGGG
rnacentral:rRNA from 1 species